GAGUCUGGAGCUCUGGCUCGCGCAGUAGCGUCACGCGGAGGCGGAGCGAGGACUCGGGGACAACUAGAGAGCUUGGGACUUUCGUUUGGGAAAAUCACUGUGGGAAGGAAUAAAUAAGGAAAUACUUCAUGGAAAAAGCUUUGAAGAGGCCAAAAACAGAAACCGAUGAGGGAGAAGGGGAGCUGAGGAGAGGAAAAGCAGCUGACCAAAGUUCCCUCACUUCUCCACUGUAGACUUCCAAGCCUGGAGCAAAACUCUACUGGGAAUGGGAAGAAGUUUUAAAUGAAAUGAGAUUAACGUUUGGUUUAUUACACCGAACUGGAUUCAGUUACAAAAAUCAAAAGACUACUCAUUUAUUACCUGAGAGCAGCAAAAAAAUUAUUAUUAUUUAUUUAUUUAUUACAGCAAACUCAACUCAAUUACUUAAAAAAAGAGUAUUUAUUUAUUACCUGAGGGCAACAACAAUAACUAUAAAAUCUCCCCGAGAUUUGAAAGGGGUGGGAGUGGGGCACUGUGAGCUGGAACAAAUGGAAGGUGCAGGCUUGAAGGUCAGUGGGAGCUUUCAGCAUGCACCCUGCUCUGUUCAACUCAUUUAAUAAAGUGCUUUCAAUACCUGCGA